GGGACUCUAUCUUCGGGAGGGAUGAUCAACUCCGCAAAUAUCGAUCGACCUUGGCUUUUUAGAGAAUCCCGCUCCUGAGUCGGAGAAAUCACGUCCAUCAACGCUGGUCCUUGUUUGGUCAUAAGGAUAAUCGUUCUUAGAGAGAGAAUCGUGGACGUGUAUAGUCGGCCAAAAAGUGAGGUGGCUGUAGUACCGGCGGAUUUGGAGCAGAGGAGUGGCGAAAGUGAGAAAGACUACAUCAACCGCUUGAAAGCUUUUAUAGAGAAACAGUGCUCGGAGAUUCAGAACCUUCUUGCUCGGAAUGCUGCUUUGGCAGAAGACGUAGCGAGCUCUGGGAGGAGUGAGCAAUCUCAAGGAUCAUAGCAAAGAGCAAGUACAGUAAUGGAGAAAGUUCAGAUAGAUAGCAUCAAGCGAGAACUCCAAGAAACAUCUCAGCGUUUAGAGACAAUAAACAGAAAAAGCCAAGAUGGAGUCUGAUGCAUCAGAAUACAAGAACAUAGCUGCGAAACUCGAAUCAGACCUAAAGGGCCUGUCGGACGCAUACAACAGUCUAGAACAAGCGAACUACCAUCUCGAGAAAGAGGUGAGAUCCUUGUUAAGGAAGAAGUGAGAAAGGAAGCUCAGAAAGAGAGCGAAGACGAGUUGAACGACUUGUUAGUGUGUUUGGGACAAGAGGAGAGUAAAGUGGAGAAGCUAACGGCGAAGCUGGUAGAGUUAGGAGUUGAUGUUGAUAAGCUUUUGGAGGAUAUUGGGGACGAGUCGCAAGCUCAAGGGGAAUGUGAAGAUGAUGAUGAUGAUGACCGGUAAACAAAGUUGUAGAGAUCAAAAUCUUCUCAGUCACUAGUAAUUUAUCAUCUACUUUCCAACAUGUUAUAUUGUUUUCUUGAUUUCUCAGAAGCUUUUUUACUUCAAGAUAUAGACAAGAUGAAUGAAUGAAAGAAGAAUCAGAUUUGGUUUC